CUUCCGGUUCAGACCUCUGCGUUUGUUGGUGCUGCACGCUAGGUAAGGCAGGCUUCAUCUCUCUUAAGCAAGCUUAUUACUUGUGAUUCAUUUACAUUUUCUGUAUAACAGCUGCAAAUUAAUGCGUGCGCUCAAACAAUGCGCUUAACGACACUCUGAUCGCCGAUCAAUCGUACCUCUGGUAAGCAUCUUCCCACACCUGACAUUUGUUAGCUUAGCUUUAGCUCAGCUUUUGUUGUAUAUCCAGGCCGCCUGUACAAGCUCCACGUUUCCUCCUUCCUGUUAGAGGCACUACAUAAAGAGCUCGGUGGAACGGCCAGCUCGUGGUGUUGGUGGUGGACUUUCCGGGUGGUGGUACUACUUCUGGUUUGGUGCACGAUUUUCUUUUUGGUGCACGAUUUUCUUUUGUUUUGCUUUGUUUCGUUUGCUAUGUUUCUUUUCUUUUAGGACACUACCCCAAAUUUCACUCCCGUCUCUGAGUUGAGCCAUAACUGAUUUUUAAGGUGUGAGUGAUUUUAGAUUAGUAUUUUUGAUUAAACAAUUGUGGAAUAAAUAAAAUUGUUGAAUUGUGA